AUUAAAGCCCAGCUGGCCGUGAACCACCCCAUCACUGACUGAAAGCCUCAGCCUUCCACAGGAUGAAAAUCAUUCACAGGAUGCUUCCUGAGGAGAUCCAGGAAGAAGAGGUGGCUGGCAGCCAGCAGCGGGAGAAGCUGUAGAGCACUCGAGAUGUGCUUUCCGAGGGGCGGUGGGCAGGCGUGGGGCCACCGCUGCCUGCUGCUCCGGAAUGCCGGGAAUGCCGUGCUCCCAGAGCUGUGCAAAGGACAUGACUCAACACCGCUCCCAUCAUGAUCCUACAAGCACCGUGGGGGUUUGGUCUUGAGGGUGUUACCUGAAGCAAUGCAAAUACGGCUCCUCAGAUAAUGACCCGCUUACCUUGCUUCAAGGAGAGGAAGGAAUCAGACAAGGUAUGAACCUGUGUGCUCUCAGGCUGUCCAGGCUGCACCGUCACAUUUCUCCUGCCUUCGGUUGGUGAUGCUGGUAAUAUCAUGACACCUUCUGUGAGUGUCCACACUGAUAAAUAGCACUUGGUAGUUAUUUUAACAAUAUUUACCAGCAUCCAAGGCCAGGAAAUACUCAGUAGCAAUGUCCCUGUCCUGCCACAUGCUCUGGUCCUAAGACAAAGGGGGGUUUUCUGCAGUUGUUGCCUGUUUUGUCAGUUCAGCAGCACAAGCAAUAAUAGCUCACAGUUUUACAUCUGAAUGCAGCAUCAGAAUCUGCCAGCUGAAGGACUGGUGACAGGGUCUAUACAAAAGGAGGAAUAAUGAAGAAGCAUGGCCACCAACUUUUGCUAGUCAAUACACUUCUGGUAGAGCCAGGCUUUGAGCACAACUUUUGGAUCGCAGUUGUUUUCAUGGGGUUUUCAGACUCUCAAACUGCACCAGGACCCUACAUAUUUUGUGGCCAAAAUGGUACUUUUCUUACCCUGCCUGGAUUUCAGAUGUUAAGGUCAAUUUUUAAAAGCAUGCAAAAACUCCCAGCCAACCUAUCUAAAGGUAAUUUAAUCUGCUUAUAUGAGCCUAUAUGUAGAAAUACUUUUUUUAAAGGAGAGUGGUAGUGUCCAACCAGAACCACCAGUUUCAAACAACCUUAAGUAUCUCAGGAAAGCCCUCAAAUUCUAUCUCCGUUGUGGAAUAGAAGUUACCUUCAGCUCAGGGCUUGUAUCUUGGCACGCCAUGGGGUUUGCCUUUGAGCCCAGUUGAUGUCUGAAGAGACUCACCCAAGACUGCUCAUUGGGGGUUCUACGGGUACAACAAGCUCAGAGGAGGGCAAACAGGUUUGCCAGGUUAGCAAGUGGAUUAACAGGGCUGUUCAUUCUAGGCCUGAGCACCAGGUGCAGCAAGAUGAGGACUCUUGGCCUACAGAAUGUUGUUAUUACCAGUAAUGAUAAUCCAUUAUACAGGCCUGAGGACAAGCCAAAUCCUGCUCACCCUCAUCCUGUGAUGAGAAACAAUACUGACAGCUGAGAAAAAAGCAUGGUAUGUGCUGCUUUCUUAAUGGGAACAUCAUUUGGCUGAAUGACACUCAGCUGCUCCUGAAGGAUUUGGGAAGCUGACUGCUGAAUGUGCUGACUGCCAGGAAGGGUGGAAAAAGGAAGCUCCUUCUGAAUAAGUGGGCUUCUCUUCAGCACCUUCUUCAAACGGCUGACUCACAUUUCAUUUGUUUUUUGAGGAGUAUUUCUACAUUUGCUUCUUUAAAAGUAAAACCACAAAAGUAGUAAUGUACUGUAGCUCAUCAGUAAGAGCCAUGUUCUGCUCAGUUUGCUCUUUCAACUAGUCUCUUAAACUUAGUAUUUACUGUAUGCCCUAUGAAAUGUGUUUAAACUGUUCCCUUGGUUUUGGAGGGUUUUUUGUUCUGAGCGUUGCAUAUUUUUACAGCCACAGCUUGUGCCAGUUCCUAGGCGUUCCUACUUUACUCACAAAUGAGACUUUCACUUUCAAAUUCUUUACCAAAUUGUGCAAUACACAUUCUUUGAGACUCUGUGUUAGCAUUUAAAAAAAAAAAAAAA